UUUGCCGGAGGUGGGAAAAUUCGUUGCACCCACGCACCCUAUGGGUUAAAGGAGAUGGAGCAGAUUGCGACGGCUUCCCGGCAGA
rnacentral:ncRNA from 1 species